rnacentral:lncRNA from 10 species
CAAGACUCCGUCUCAAAAAAAAAAAAAAAAAAAAAAGCACCUUGAGAAAAUUUCUACUUGUGGAUCUCUGUACACCGUCCCCAUUUUGUUUAUUAAGUCUAUGGUCCCGUCCUGUGGGCCCCAGAGAAUAGUCUGUAGCAUUUUUUAUAAGGACAUUGAUCCACCUCCCCAAAUGACAGCCCCAUAGUUACUAGAUCGUUCUGUCUAGAAUGUAUGCUGCCUUCCUUCUGCAUACGCAUCAAGCCUGGGCUUCCCAGACCAAGGCUGUAUGAGGGAGGUGGGGACCUGGAGCCCAGUCAUUCCAGGGCCAAUCGCUUCCUUCUGUCAUCUGGUACGGCCAGGAAUAGAGGAAUUCUAAGCAUCCCUGGUGACUGAGCUCAUAUAGAAAGAGGUUGUGCCUUAACCACCCCGAGGAACAAGGUGUACAGGGACAGUCUUUUUAAAAAAUCUUGUUUGGGUGGUGGGAUGGGGGUGGGGCGAUUUCUGGUAAAAACUGGAAAACCUGCUAAAUGAAUGCUUUUUUUUUUUUUUUUUUGAGUCAAAGUCUCACUCUGUCACCCAGGCUGGAGUGCAGUGACACAAUCUCGGCUCACUGCAACCUCUGCCUCCCAGGUUCAAGUGAUUCUCCUGCCUCAGCCUCCCGAGUAGCUGGGAUUACACGCAUGUGCCAACACGCCCAGCUAAUUUUUGUAUUUUUAGUAGAGACGGGGUUUCAUCAUGUUAGCCAGGCUGGUCUCGAACUCCCAACCUCAGGUGAUCUGCCCACCUUGGGAUUUGCCUCCCAAAGUGUUGGGAUUAUAGGCGUGAGCCAGUACGCCCAGCCUAACAAAUUCUAAAAGAGCUGUAACACUGACAGUCUCUUCAUGGUCCCAGUUAUUUCCAAAAGGGCACGUUCUGCUCUGGUUCCUUCUGGUGGGUUAGCAACAGGGCAGAUCCACUAGAAUACAGCUCUCAAAAUCUACUGCACAUGGACUCACCCAAAGUGCUUUACAAAAAUCCUGAUCCCAGGCCACAUUCCAGAUCACUUACAUUUGAACCUCAGGUCCAAACUCAGGCAUCAGCAUUUAAAACAUUCCUCAGGUGACUCCCAACAUGCAGCUGAUUUGCCAGCCAGCCCUCUGCAGUCUGGAUCAAAGGUUCUCAACAUGAGGUCCCUGAACCAGCGGCUGCUUUGCUAAGAACUGGGAACUUGUGGGAAAGGCAGCGUCUCAGACCCCACCCCAGAUCUACUGAAUCAGAAACUCUGGGGGUGGGGCCAGCACUUUGUUUCAACAAGCCCUCCAGGAGACUCUGAGGCACUAGUCUGGUCCAGUGGGUCUCAAACUUGACUGCAACAAAUGGCCCAGAGAUCUUUUUGAAGUGUAGAGUCUGACUCAGCAGGUGUGGGUGGAGCUGAGAGGCCAGCAAGAUCCCAGGUGGGGCCGAGGCUGCUCAUCCUCCUACCACAUUUUGAGUAGCAAGGAGCUACCAAGAGCAGCCGACGGGGUUUCAUUCUCGUCUACUGGAAGCAACCUUAAUAGACAACUGAAAAACAAAACAAAACAACUGAGAUACCUGUUUCUGCCAGAAAACCCAGGCCAUUCACUGGUCAGCUGUUCCAAAACCAGAGUUAAGCUACUGCAGCUGUUCCCGCGUGCCUGCCUGCAUUCCAGUAAAUAAUCCCACGUGGCAAGUCAGCUCACCUGGUUACUGCCAAAGCAUGUUCCCAGCUGGUGUGACUCAGAGGCACACCAGAAUUUCUUUAUUAUAAUUUGGCGAUAGGGUCUUGCUUUGCCACGCAGGCUGGAGUGCCGUGGUCCGAUCACAGUUCACUACAGCCUUGAACUCCUGGGCUCAAGUGAUCUUCCUGCCUUAGACUCCCAAGUAGCUGAGAUUAUAGGCACACGCCACCACACCCAGCUAAUUUAAAAAUAUUUUUGUAGAGACCAGGUCUCACUAUGUUGCCUGGUUUGGUAUCAAACUCCUGGCCUUAAGGGAUCCUCCUGCCUCGGCCUCCCAAAGUGCCAGGAUUAUAGGUGUGAGCCAUCAUGCCCAGCCAGAGCACCAGAAAUAGCUCCCAACUGUAGAAGGAGCCUCCCUGUAGCGCUGUUGGCUCCCUCCUUCCUGUGGAGUCUCCACAGCAGUCCCUCCCCACCAUGAGGCCAGAGAGGCUAACAGCUUUGCUGUCACCCAACAGAAAUGCUUUAAGUACUGACCACUGCUGGAGGGAAAGGCUACCGCUAACACUUGGGAUGUUUUCUGACAGCCUCUGAAACUUCUACGAACUGCUGAGGCAUAGGAUCCUCUCCUAAAAUUUCUCCCAGAUCUUAACGUCAGGGCUGUCUGGCCCUUUCAUGAGUAUGUGGGUUAUAGUCUCUGGCAGGCACUUGUGAAGAGUGUGACUGAUUGACACUUUUUUGCCUUGGUUGCUGGGAAGCUCAGAUCUCCCCUCUGCAUGUCCCUUGCUUAGGACCUCCCAUGGUGUACUUGGAGUUGGGACCUCACCUGGCUCUCCCUUAUCUUUCCGGCUGCCAUUUUUUCCCCUUUCUAACUUUCUUUCCCAUACACUUAUUUGAAAUAUUAUCUCACGGUAACGAAAUAAAGUGUCUGUCACCUCCUGCUGUGUUGUCAUCUUGCAUGAGCUAUCUAAGUUCUCUGUUCUUCAGUUUCUGCAUCUGUAAAACGAUGACAAUGACAGAGCCAACCUCGCUUUGAGGAUCACAUGAGUUAAUAAAGGCCUGGCACACAGUUAGCACUCAAUAAAUGUUAGUUAUGAUUUUUAUUAUAUUGUUUACGUGAUCUCAUUUAAGUCCUUU